rnacentral:rRNA from 1 species
UACGUAGGGUGCAAGCGUUGUCCGGAUUUACUGGGCGUAAAGGGCGUGCAGGCGGUUUGUUAAGUGCAGGGUGAAAGCUCCCGGCUCAACUGGGAGAGGUCCUUGCAUACUGGCGAACUCGAGGGAGGCAGAGGAAAGUGGAAUUCCCGGUGUAGUGGUGAUAUGCGUAGAUAUCGGGAGGAACACCUGUGGCGAAGGCGGCUUUCUGGGCCUUAUCUGACGCUGAGACGCGAAAGCGUGGGGAGCGAACCGG